UACGGAGGGUGCGAGCGUUAUUCGGAAUUACUGGGCGUAAAGCGCGUGUAGGCGGGGAAGCAAGUCUGAUGUGAAAGCCCCGGGCUUAACCUGGGAAGUGCAUUGGAAACUGUUUUUCUUGAGUACUGGAGAGGGAGGGAGAAUUCCCGGUGUAGAGGUGAAAUUCGUAGAGAUCGGGAGGAACACCAGUGGCGAAGGCGGCCCUCUGGACGGGUAGUGACGCUGAGGCGCGAAAGCGUGGGGAGCAAACAGG
rnacentral:rRNA from 1 species